GACAGAGGGGGCAAGCGUUGCUCGGAAUCACUGGGCGUAAAGGGCGCGUAGGCGGGAAGCCAAGUCGGUCGUGAAAUCUCCGGGCUCAACCCGGAGGAGUCGGCCGAAACUGGUUUUCUUGAGGGAGGCAGAGGAGUCUGGAAUUCCCGGUGUAGCGGUGAAAUGUGUAGAGAUCGGGAGGAACACCGGUGGCGAAGGCGGGACUCUGGGCCUACCCUGACGCUGAGGCACGAAAGCGUGGGGAGCAAACAGG
rnacentral:rRNA from 1 species